UACGAAGGGUGCAAACGUUGCUCGGAAUUAUUGGGCGUAAAGCGCACGUAGGCGGCUUUGCAAGUCCCAUGUGAAAUCCCACGGCUCAACCGUGGAAGUGCAUGGGAAACUGCAGAGCUUGAGUACUUAAGAGGAUCGCGGAAUUCCCGGUGUAGAGGUGAAAUUCGUAGAUAUCGGGAGGAACACCAGUGGCGAAGGCGGCGAUCUGGGAAGAUACUGACACUGAGGCACGAAAGCUAGGGGAGCAAACAGG
rnacentral:rRNA from 1 species